rnacentral:rRNA from 1 species
GACGAACGCUGGCGGCGUGCUUAACACAUGCAAGUCGAACGGAAAGGCCCUGCUUUUGUGGGGUGCUCGAGUGGCGAACGGGUGAGUAACACGUGAGUAACCUGCCCUUGACUUUGGGAUAACUUCAGAAAACUGGGGCUAAUACCGGAUAGGAGCUCCUGCUGCAUGGUGGGGGUUGGAAAGUUUCGGCGGUUGGGGAUGGACUCGCGGCUUAUCAGCUUGUUGGUGGGGUAGUGGCUUACCAAGGCUUUGACGGGUAGCCGGCCUGAGAGGGUGACCGGCCACAUUGGGACUGCGAUACGGCCCAGACUCCUACGGGAGGCAGCAGUGGGGAAUAUUGCACAAUGGGCGGAAGCCUGAUGCAGCAACGCCGCGUGCGGGAUGACGGCCUUCGGGUUGUAAACCGCUUUCGCCUGUGACGAAGCGUGAGUGACGGUAAUGGGUAAAGAAGCACCGGCUAACUACGUG